UAGGGAAUCUUCGGCAAUGGACGAAAGUCUGACCGAGCAACGCCGCGUGAGUGAAGAAGGUUUUCGGAUCGUAAAACUCUGUUGUUAGAGAAGAACAAGGACGUUAGUAACUGAACGUCCCCUGACGGUAUCUAACCAGAAAGCCACGGCUAACUACUUGCCAGCAGCCGCGGUAAUACGUAGGUGGCAAGCGUUGUCCGGAUCUAUUGGGCGUAAAGCGAGCGCAGGCGGUUUCUUAAGUCUGAUGUGAAAGCCCCCGACUCAACCGGGGAGGGUCAUUGGAAACUGGGAGACUUGAGUGCAGAAGAGGAGAGUGGAAUUCCAUGUGUAGCGGUGAAAUGCGUAGAUAUAUGGAGGAACACCAGUGGCGAAGGCGGCUCUCUGGUCUGUAACUGAAGCUGAGGAUCGAAAGCGUGGGGAGCAAACAGG
rnacentral:rRNA from 1 species